rnacentral:rRNA from 1 species
UGGGGAAUAUUGGACAAUGGGGGCAACCCUGAUCCAGCCAUGCCGCGUGAGUGAAGAAGGCCUUCGGGUUGUAAAGCUCUUUCGACGGGGACGAUGAUGACGGUACCCGUAUAAGAAGCCCCGGCUAACUUCGUGCCAGCAGCCGCGGUAAUACGAAGGGGGCUAGCGUUGUUCGGAAUUACUGGGCGUAAAGCGCGCGUAGGCGGUGGUCCAUGUCAGAGGUGAAAGCCCGGAGCUCAACUCCGGAACUGCCUUUGAAACGGGACUGCUAGAGUCCGAGAGAGGAUGGCGGAAUUCCUAGUGUAGAGGUGAAAUUCGUAGAUAUUAGGAAGAACACCGGUGGCGAAGGCGGCCAUCUGGCUCGGUACUGACGCUCAGGCGCGAAAGCGUGGGGAUCAAA